UACGAAGGGGGCUAGCGUUGCUCGGAAUCACUGGGCGUAAAGCGCACGUAGGCGGAUUGUUAAGUCAGGGGUGAAAUCCUGGAGCUCAACUCCAGAACUGCCUUUGAUACUGGCGAUCUUGAGUCCGGGAGAGGUGAGUGGAACUGCGAGUGUAGAGGUGAAAUUCGUAGAUAUUCGGAAGAACACCAGUGGCGAAGGCGGCUCACUGGCCCGGUACUGACGCUGAGGCUGCGAAAGCGUGGGGAGCAAACAGG
rnacentral:rRNA from 1 species